rnacentral:sRNA from 1 species
GAGAACCGACCUGUACGUGUUGCCACGCU